rnacentral:tRNA from 1 species
GUAGACGUAGUUUAAUAAAAACCUUAGAUUGUGAUUCUAAAAACAAGGGUUAAAAUCCCUUCAUCCACC